GCCGGAGUGGUGGAAUUGGUAGACGCAUGAGACUCAAAAUCUCACGAGGGCAACCUUGUGUCGGUUCAAGUCCGACCUUCGGCA
rnacentral:tRNA from 2 species